rnacentral:lncRNA from 1 species
AUGCUCUCUUUGACUCCUCUCACUCACGGAUAUGUCUCAUUACUUUUCAGAAUGAUUCCUCUAAAUCUUGUUCACUUAUUUUAUUCCCUAUUUAGACCAGAUAUCUUCUGUUUGCCCUUCCAUAAAGACGUCCCACCCAUGUCCAUGUUGCUCUUCGCCAUCAAGACGAAGAGCCUGUGCUUGGAUCUGGCAUCUUAUGAUCUUCAGCAUCCACCUGUCUAUAUUGAUUUGUCCAGGCUUUCCUAAUGCAUUAGUGCUUGAGUCCUUUCUCCAGGUUGACAUAGCAAUCCUUCAUAUCACCUAGGGACAAGUUGGUAAGUGUUCUAAGACAAAUGCUUUGAGACUAUCCCAAGGUGCUUUUGUUUAACAGAGAGCAGAUUCAAGAGCUGUAUAAUUGCUUAACAUAAGUUUCUAGGGAGUAGAAACACUGCCUAAGUUUCCAGGCUCCUGAUUCUUAAGUAGGUAACCCAGACUUCCCCCCACUUUUGACUGAAGCCAUCCUAAUUAUUAUGAGAUGAACCUAAGACAAUUUGAAGUCUAUAAGCUAAUUUUUCAGAGGAUAACAUGGUUUGGAGUGAAAUAAUAAAUAUUCCUUAGUUACUUUAACAUUAACAAAAUGGUAAAGCAAUUCUUCAUUUAGUACCAAUAAACGCAACACAAUUAAUAAUGGAGAAAGAAAUUAAGUUAAUAUGGAAAGUAUACAUUGUGAAAGUAGGUAUUUUUGAUUCCAAAACUAAACUAUGCUUUGUUAGCAUAGCUUGAAUUACCGUAUAUAAUUAUGCACAGUGAUGGUGCUCUUAUUUAAUAUAGAAACUUCAUUAAUUAUAACAUCAUAUGCUCCAUAAUCUAAAUUGUAGUGGGUUUUAUAUAGUAAGAACCUAUGUGAUCUUUUUGAAUGAAUGCAGUUAUUUCUGAAUAUUUUGGCUAAAAUUUCAAGAAGUAGUCUAAAUUAAUGAGCCUUGGUUGUUUGAAGAAAUUAGGCUUGCCCAAGGCACAAUGGAAUAGAAAUAAAUGAUCAUUCUCCCUGAAAAAUUCAUUCUGCAUAUAUAUUAUAAUGAAAUCUCAGACUAAGACCCAAGUAAAGAAUUUUAUUGCCAGUCUAGUAGGUCCCAACUUGAGUUGGUUGUAUUCAACAGGAUGUACAAAUUCAUUAUUUCAAUAUUGUAUUAGUUAAAGCUCCAAAAUAUUUGGACAUAUCUUCAGAUCCUCAGGUGUUCAAUUCAGUUGGCUGGUUUUUUCUAUAAGCAUAUCAUUGUUUCUUUAAAUUAUUUAAUAUUAGAAAACACCAUUCACUCCAAGGAUUCUAGAGGCCUUGCUUAGUUAAAUAAUAACACACAAGUCAUAAUAGAUGUCAUGAUGUGGAUAGUUUGCUAUGAUCAACACUCAUCUUGGAUGCCAGCUACCCGAACUUAAGAAAUUCAUAGCAAAAGCACUAUAGCAGGACAAACGCAAGUUAAGAGAGACAAGAGAAAAAGCAAAGAAAAGGAAGGAAAAGAAGAAAAGAAAAAAUAAAUAAUUUUAUUAUCACCUUGCUCUAACUACAAAAUAUAUUAAAUAUAUACAUAUAUUUGUGGUAGACAUACUCAAAGGUGGUCCCCAAGAUCUCUAGCUCCUGGAAUUUAUGCCCUAUAACUUUUCUGCCUUUUUAACGUGGAUAGAACCUGUGACUUGCUUCUGAUCAAUAGAGUAUGGCAAAGAUAAUGGAUGUCACUGUCAUGUGAAUGUUUCAUAAAACCAUAAACCAUAUUUCUAGGGGACACUAGCCCUGGCAGUCUUUGAGGAAGCAAGUUGUUAUCAUGCUGGGAAGGCCCUCAUGACAAGAAGCUGAUGAAGGCUUCCAGCUGACAGCCAGCAAGAUACAGAGGUCCUGGGUCCAGUAGCCCAUAAGGGACUAAUGGACUAACAACCACACGAACACGAAAGCGAAUGUUUCCUCAACUGAGCUUCAGAUGAGACUGCAGGUCCUGCCAAUACUUCAACUGCAGCCUUGUGAGAUCCUGAAGCAGAGAUUCCAGCUAAGCUUUUCCAACGUCUGCCCAAAUAGUGAGACAAUACAUGUGUUUUUCUUUUUUUCAGUCACUAUUAUAGAACAAUAUACAAGAAAACAUUCAAUAUAUUUAUAUAAAUUUAUAUUUUAAGUAUAAAAUAUGUCAGACAUCAUAAUAGGUUGUUUAAUUACUACAAUAUUUAAUCUGAAAAAUAACCAAAAGUAUAUAACUCAAAGGAGAGGGAUUUAUGUUACUCAACACAAAUUUGAGUGUGUUCUUACAUUACUCUCUUCUUGUAUUUCUGGGAGAAGCCAAACUGGGUCAUGUAACUUUAAAUUUAGAAGAAUAAAUGUUUUGAUACAAUCGUAGCCUUGAUUUUUAAUACAGUGUUUAAUAAUUUUAUAGUUAUAUAGCUAAGUUGAUUUUAUUCGAAUGAGAAAAGCCAGAGAAUGACACAAGAUAAAGGAAAACGCAGAUGCGCUCUGUCACUUUUGAUUUAUUUGAAAAUAUCUUCAUUUGGUAUUUAUUCUUCAAUAAUGUUGGGCAUAAAAUUCUAGAUUGAUUUUUUUUUCCUCAUAAUUUUAGGGAAACUUUUUGUCCCUUUUUUAUUUUUGCUUUGGAGAUAUCUUCUGUAUCAUUUCUGUAAUCUAGUUUACUUUCUCCCUUUAAAUAUUUAUUAUUUAUUUAUUUUAGUAUUCUACACUUUUCCUUAGGAGUAAAUUCAUUUUUAUUUACUAUCCUUGAGAUUCAUUAUGCUUUGUAAAUCUAAGAAGUUAGGCUUUUUAUUCAAUUCUAGAAUAGUGUAUGCCUUUUUCUAUAAAUAUUUGAAUACUGUUUUGCUUCCAUUAACUGCAUUCUCUUGUCAUAGAACCCUCAUUAGAUGCAUGUUAAGUUUUAUUACCAUGUCCUCCUCUCCACUUCUCUCAAAUUUUCUUAAGUAUUUAAUAUUUAAAAAUUCAUGUUUCUAAAUAAUUGCCUUAAAUAUAUCUUCUAUCUCAUCAAUGACUUUACAUAUUUUAUAUGUAAAUGUUUAAAUGUAUAUGUUUGCAUACAUAUGUCUAUAUACAUAUGUAUUUAAAGAAUUUUGUGUUUUUUUCUUCUCUUGUUGAUAUUUUCUCAUAGUGUUUGAUUCAUUUCUUAAUACUUUUAGCUUUAACCUUUUUAUCCUAUUUUAACAGAUUGGUUAAUCAAAGUCACCUGAAUAACAUUGUUAUAUUACAUAUAUAUAUAUAUAUAUAUAUAUAUAUAUAUAGAGAGAGAGAGAGAGAGAGAGAGAGAGAGAGAGAGACAGACUCUUAUUCAUUUAUCUUCUUAUUGUGAUUCGAAUCUUGACCCAUGUUUAGAAGGGUUUUAUCUAUGUGGAUCCUAGGCUAAGGAGUUACCUUUCCAAAAGGAUGUAUGCUUGCCUCCAGCAAGUGCCCAGGAGUAUGGCCAUUUU